GCACUGCUGAAGAGUCUCAUAAUAGAACUAAACAGUUUUCCAGUAC
rnacentral:hammerhead_ribozyme from 1 species